UGGAAAGUUUGGAUUUGACAAGUGCUGCUGGACAGCUUCUUAACGAAACCAUUCAGGCUCAGAACAAGGAGUUUAAGACGGGGGCCAACGAAAUGGAACCAUUUAUAAACUAGGUACAUCCUGUAUCCUGGGUUACUUAAAAUUCUGUCUGAUAUGCACAGAAGAUUACCAUGCAAGCUCUCCUCAAGGCAUCCUCUCCUGCAAUUUGGAAUACAGCAUACUGGUGUGGCUCCCUCAGCCUCAGAUCUCCUAAAGCUCUCUGCACCAUGGAGUGGAGAUCCUGGGCCUGUGUGCCAUGGCGCUCGGCACAGAAAUGAUUUCAACAUCUGCCACAGGCAAUUCCAGCUCCUGCCAGGCAGAGGCUCCUCCUCUGGACACAAAGGCUGUUUGUGUAGAGCAUGGUGUGAUGGCAGAGCUAAGCUUUCACAUGUGAUGUGCUUGGGAAAUUGGGAAAUGGCUGAGAUUUCAGGAGUUGGCACAUCUUGCUCCCCGCUGGAACCGAGUCCCAGUCAGGUGCCUGGUUUCUGCAUUGCAUCCCAGUAUUGUCAUUCUCAUCUCACUCCACCUUCUGUUUGGGGCUGAUGGCAUUGUAUUUGAUAUUUCUCUCUAUAAAACAAAAUGUUAGGCCUCUGCACAUUGAGGAUUUCCUGAAAUGUAGUAGAGGUCUCCUAAUUCAUAGCAACUCUUGUCCCAAGCUGAGCCAGCCUGGAGGACACAGCCACCUGCAAAUUCUGCCCAGUGAUCAGUGGCUGUCAGGAGGCACCUGAGACUUUGUCUGCUGCCAGGUGUGCUGGAAAUGUGAGCUGGGAAAUGUAGGAGACUGUGUGUGCCUACAGUGCUCCCCAGGCAGGCAAAGCAGCGACUGUGGGAAGGUGAGGAGAAAACUGUUAGACUGUUUGUUUGUACUGAACUCCCUUAGAUACCCUAGACCAGGGCUGAUGGAGAAAUUAGGAGAACAUUUUCCUUUUUUUUAGAAGAGAGAGUUGGAGAGGACAGUAGAAUCUAGGAGAAAAGUUAUGGAGUGACAAGAGAUUUUUAGCUCUGCUCACAAGGAUGAGGCGACUGGCAUGCCUGAGUUAUCCCAUCAGUCACACUGCCAGCAAAAAAUCAUUCUGAAGAAGGGGAAGAACUGACCUUCUUCCAUGCAAAGCACCUUGGCUUCCCAUAACCAACAUCUACAGGAGCUCAACCAACAUCACCAGGUAUCAAGUGAAUGAAAUGUCUUGUAACUGUUUGGGUUUUUUUUGUAUCUUUUUGUGUGCAAUCUCUAUAAAACUCCUGUGUAAACUCCCCGUUCCAUGAAAAUGCCAAACUCAAAUGAGGCUGAGCUGCUGCUUCAAGGAUGGACUUGCUGUUCUGGAACCAGCUGAAUUGCCAGGACUGCUGUGAACAACAGGCACUUCUGGAGAUAAUGUUGCUCCAAGAACUAAUGUCCACAGGAAUGAUUCCAGCCCAGGUGUGUUAAAUCAGGAAGUCCCACACUGCUGUCAUCUGAUCUGUGCUUCCUGGCUUUCCACCAUCUGAGAAACCAUUCCCUGGAAAAGAGCUUUCUGGAAUAAGCCUUCUGUGCCCCGUGGGAUAAAGAUGAGCAGUAGCAGCAGCCCAGAGAUGUUAUGGUUGAAAUGAAUGAGAGUUCAGCUCCACACAACAGAGUAGGAAUUACACCUAAGUUCCUCCCAGUACCACUGCUUUUCAUAUGCUAAAAUCAAUAGAUUGGAUUCAGACAGAGUGAAGCACUCCUAGACAAAGUAUGGGUUUGGGAUUGGUUGCACUUGCUGAGGUAAUCGAUGCCAUGGUACCUUCUCUGAAGAAGACUGAAGAGUGUGACAUGAUGAAAGCUGCAUGAUGUGGUAACUGCUGUUCCUUGGGAAUAGUCUGUCUGCUGUAUUCCUCCAUGAGGUUACUUUGGCUUUGUACUAUAACAUACCAGGGAAUGGAAAGAGUAUUUUCCCCACUUCCACCUAUAUUUCUAUUUCCAGCUGCAGUCCUGUGAAUAAUGGAACAUUCUCCAGAAUUAGCCCACGUGUAAGUUAUGAAUUCUAUGACCUCUUUAAGAAUCUAAUUUAAAAGAAGAGAAAGACAAAUCUAAAACAAAACUUCCACUAUUUCAUGAUCACUUGCUAGAAGAGACAGUGAAAGAGACAUUUGUGACUUGUGAGGGGUUUGUAGUUGAUGUGGAAAUAUUUAAAGUUAUUGCAGGCAGACUUGUUGCAAGCAGCCUUGCUUGAGCUUCCCAACCUUAACUAUUUUGUGUUUACGUGAAUAUCUGCCUCCUAACAAUUUGUGUGUGCUCUGAUCAAAUGGGAUAAUGGGUUUCUGAAAUGACAACAGCCACACAGGCAGGCACUGGCUGUAUCUGCCCCACAAACACUGAUAUUCCCCCAAACACAGGGAAAAAGAUCUCCCUCUAAUCUCUGAACAUGUGUUCAAGCACUUCCAGUGCAAAAGCAAUUGCUUUACCCUGUAGCAAUACAACAAAAUGUGUCUUGAGUCCUGAGCAGGGGCCAAGUUAUCUUGGGACAUUUUUUUACCACCCUUCCAGUGACAUGGGAUCAGGAGAGAUAAAUAAUUAAACCACGAUCUUAUGGUUACAAUGCAAUGCUAUGAGAAAGAGAUGUGAUUGUUCCCAUUAAGGAAUCUCUCAACAAGUCUGAAUUUCUUUGAAAUCCAAUAUUAACUGAAAUUGUUUGAGUUCAUGAUGUUUGAUUGCAAAGUAUUUUUGAUUUUUUUUCAUUUUUAAUGUAUAUCAUCAAUCUUUAUACUGACAUUGUUUCUUUUCUUAGCCUGGAGUAAUUUUGCUAAUUUAGAUGUAUUGCUCUAUGUGAUGUGGAUACAGAGAGAGAGAGGGUGUGUAUACAUGUUUGUAUGUAUAUUGGAGAGAAGGAGAGGGGUGAUUUUACUAAUUCUAAACUCUAACCCCCAUAAAUAUUUGUACUUAAGCCAUUAUUUCUCAUUUCUCAUAAGCUGAGGUCACUGCUCCAUCUCUUAGACCUGCAACAGCUGCCAGUGCUUCUAGACAGUUCAGAUCUUUUUCCAAGUGCAAUUAUUCUGGACUACAGAAAAUUUGUUUUACUUCCAAUUUAGACCUCACUGGAUUGUUCGUUCUCUUAUCUUCAGCCAUGCUGGGCUGUUGUGUUUCCAACAUUCGUAGAGACAACCCAAAACAAAGUUCUGGCCAUCUGUGGCAUUCUCAGAUUAAGCAUAUAUUGAGAAAUUUUUAUUUAGAAAGACAUAAACAAGUGUCCACUGGUGCUUUAGAGGAAUAAAGUACUACUUUGAACUGGAAUGGAGACUGUAAGAGGUUUGUAAUAGGGAGGAGAUUUUUUUUUCUAUUAUUGAUGUAAUGUCUUUCUACUGUUUGCACCAGAAAAAGAAAAAAAAAAAAAAAAGAGGAGGGAAGAAAUAAGCUUUUGUUCACAAGAAAUAUUGAUUAAGGGUCUUAAAGUCUUCAGAAUGGUAAAUGAAAAUAUGAACUUCUGUUACAUGUGUUUUUACAAGAGUGACCAGGCAAGUAGACUUUCCCAGGCACUUAAUAUCCAUUAAGAAACUUUGCCUCAAAACUGCACCUACAAAAGCAGCUGGGCAAAAACUGGAGUUUCUUUCUAUAGUAACUAAUAUUUAGAAGGGAAAUUCAGUUAUAGCCAGAUUUGUGGCUGUUUGUUUCCAUCAUACAAGGCAGGAAUUUUCCUCCCAAAUUUAAACUCAAGCAAUUAAUAUACUUCAAGUUUUUUAGAUUUCCUGUGACAAGUGAGUGUGAGAAUUUGUGGGAGACCUUUGGUGUCGAUAUGUGCUGGAGAAAGGAGAUGGAUGAUUUUUUCCACUGUUAGCUGAGCACUAGACAACACAGGAACAGCUUCAGAAGGGACACAGCUUAUCCAUCUCUUUUUGGCUAAUUGCUUCUUGGAUAUGCACCAAAGAGAGGGAUUGGGAAGCCAAGAACCCCAGGGAGUGGAGAAGCUCUGUGGUGGAGUGGAGGUCUGGGCUGAGGUUCCAUUUCCAGCAGCUGGAAGCGUUCCCUGCCGCCACAGUGACACAAACCACCCGCUGAGGUGUCCUCAUGGUGAGAAGAUGGAUGAGCCUGAGUAUUCCUGGGUGUCUUUGCUUUCCUGUAGUUCUAACUGCUUGUCAAAAGUGAGGGGCUUUUUGUUUGUUUGUUUGAUUAUAAUUCUAUAAGUAAGUGCUUUUCAAACACUAUUUUCAUUACUCCCGUGUGAGCAAACUGAGAUGUCAUCCUGAUAAACUAUCAAGGACAUACGGCUUUGAAAAGCAGGUUCUGUGAGAGGGGAUUGACAUUUUCUGGGCUCAUCAUAUGGCAGGAUUUGUAGUAGUAACUGCUGGAAAGCCAGGAAAGUUGUUGUGCCUUGGAUUAAAAACCAAAAACUGAUGGAUCGACCUGAGUUUCUUAUUCUUAAUUUAAAAUAUCGCAGAAAUUACUCUUGGAUUUUUCAGGGUUUUCCUGUAACCACACUAACAACGUAAUUGAGGUUUGAAUUGUGUUUACUCUGGAGUUUUUCUCCCAGAUGUUCUUGCUGAGAGUCUCUAGAAAUUUAAGAAUUAUAUAUUGAAUAAAUGAGAUGAUUGGAUGAGCAGAUGAGUGCCUUGUGUUUAGUAUGAUCUCUGUGUGUCAGAGCAGCACUGAAUAAAACAGCUUUUUCUCUGUAAGAGGUAAGGCAUUCCUGUGAGGAACAGGGAAUUGGACUCAGAUGAUCUGUGGGUCCCUUCCAGCUUGAGAUGUUCUCUGAUUCUAUUAAAAAUUGUAGCUGGUUACAAAACAGUGCAGAACAAACAGAGAAUGGCAGCAGUUCAGACAAAUGGAACAGGUUAGAGAAGAGGUCUCUAAGAGAUACUUUGGAGGUAGCAGGAAGGUGGGCUCUAAGGCAUUGUAACAUGGAGCGUCUUACACAGGCCAAGAGAAGGCUUGUGAAGGGGUUGGAUAAUUGAUGGUCUGGGUGGAGGGGAAGCAGCCAUAUGGGUGUGAUUGUGUGGAAGAUCUGACUUGAGGAAGGGUGGUGGAAGAGGCCACAAGAAAGGAAAAUGCUACUGCCAGAAUCGCUUUAGUCAAUGUUCAAGGGCAGUAUUAAUGACCACAUUAAGAGGCUGGACUGCAGAAGAAAGUAGAGUGGAGAAAAAAAAAAAACAGGCGUGUUUUCCAUUUGAAGAAGAGAAAGGAAAAUAUAUUUAAAAAUAUAGAAGGUUGGCAGACCUUGAGGUGAGUGUAGAUUGCUUGGGGAAUAGCACUUUCAUUUCAGCUCUAUUAUCUUUUAGUUGUAGGCCCCACAUACACAAUUCCCUGUGACAAGCUUCUAAAGAGUUCUCAACCCUCACCUUAUUGGUGCACUGGAUUUUACUGAUUUUCAAAAGGAUCAUUUGAUAGGGAAUUUAAGCUGGCUUGGCAUACCUACCCUGCCACCACUGGGUUUGGCCCCCUCACGGAGAUCAGGGCUCCAAAGACUCUGAGAAAUACCAGGACCCUGUCCUGUAAAGCGCAGGGUCUACUCUGCAGCUGUGGGACAGGGCAUCCAGCUGAGAGCUGUGAGGGCUGCCAUGUGUGCAGGGAAUGUAAAGUCCCAGGAGUGGCUGAGUGGAACCAUGGAUGUUUAGUCUUUAGAAAAGUUUUUUUGGUUUUAAGCAUUUUGAGAUUGCUUUUUUGUUUUUUAAAGAACUUAUUAGAGGUUUUAUAAAUAACAUUUUCACUCCUUCCCUUCAUCUACUUGAAUUCAACUUCAUCUUCUCUUCGUCUGCCUUCCAAGAAAGACACAAGGACUUCAGAAGGCUCCACAGUGAAAGGACCCAAAAUGCCGUGAAUGGAGCUUCUGUUGCAGGGGAGGAGGAAGAGGAAACAAGGAGGGUCUUCACUGUUGGCUGUGACCAUCCAGAGCUCUCAGGCACAGUGAUAGCAUGGGAUUUCCAUGAGAAGUAGCAGAGAGUGUUUGAAGUGGAUGGGUGGCUGGGGAACCUAGGGAGUGGGGGAUGCUCACGG